AGCAGCCGCGGUAAUUCCAGCUCCAAUAGCGUAUAUUAAAGUUGUUGCAGUUAAAAAGCUCGUAGUUGAACCUUAGGCCCGUGCGGGUGGACCGUCCUCUGGGCGAGCACUGUCUCGUCGCGGGUCUCACCUUCUGGCGAGCGUGGAUGCCAUUCACUUGGUGUCUGCGGGAACCAGGACCUUUACCUUGAAAAAAUUAGAGUGCUCAAAGCGGGCUCGUACGCUUGAAUACAUUAGCAUGGAAUAAUGAAAUAGGACGACGGUUCUAUUUUGUUGGUUUCCGGGACAGUCGUAAUGAUUAAUAGGGAUAGUUGGGGGCAUUCGUAUUCAAUUGUCAGAGGUGAAAUUCUUGGAUUUAUUGAAGACGGACUACUGCGAAAGCAUUUGCCAAGGAUGUUUUCUUAUUAAUCAAGAACGAAAGUUGGGGGAUCGAAGACGAUCAGAUACCGUCGCAGUCUCAACCAUAAACUAUGCCGACUGGGAAUCGGGCGAUGUUAUUUUUUCG
rnacentral:sRNA from 1 species